rnacentral:rRNA from 1 species
UGUAAGCGUAUACCAAAGUUGUUGCAGUUAAAACGCUCGUAGUCGGAAUUUGGCAGUUCCGGAUGUGUGCACGUCGUGUGCGCACUUCGCGGGGAUUGCUUUUGUGGUCUUGCGUAGGAUGAGGCACUUUUAUUAGUGAACGUCCUCACGCAACCACUUUUUACUGUGAGAAAAUCAGAGUGCUCAAAGCAGGCAUUUGCCGUGAAUGUAUUAGCAUGGAAUAAUAGAAUAGGACUUGGUUCUAUUUUGUUGGUUUGUUGGGACUGAGUAAUGAUUAAGAGGGACAGUUGGGGGCAUUUGUAUUUCGGUGCUAGAGGUGAAAUUCUUAGAUUACCGAAGGACAAACUGCUGCGAAAGCGUCUGCCAAGGAUGUUUUCAUUGA